AUUGAACGCUGGCGGCAUGCCUUACACAUGCAAGUCGAACGGUAACAGGUCUUCGGACGCUGACGAGUGGCGAACGGGUGAGUAAUACAUCGGAACGUGCCCAGUCGUGGGGGAUAACUACUCGAAAGAGUAGCUAAUACCGCAUAUGCUUGAGAGUGAAAUAGAUUUAUCUGCCUAGAGAAAAGCUCGCGGCUGAUUAGCUAGUUGGUAGGGUAAUGGCCUACCAAGGCGACGAUCAGUAUCUGGUUUGAGAGGACGAUCAGACACACUGGAACUGAGACACGGUCCAG
rnacentral:rRNA from 1 species